rnacentral:lncRNA from 1 species
AAUCUGGAUAGAAUUCCAAAUAAUUCAUGUAGAUACUAUGCCACAAGCAAAUGCAGAACAACUCCCCAUUCCUUAAUUGUAGGCUGUGAGUAGUUACUUCUUUAUAAAAAGUAUUGAAGGAAAGGCAGAAAAGUAACUUUAGAAGGGAGAUACCUGACAAAUACUACCUCAAUCAAGUGACUGAAUUUGACAUCAACAGUGACAGGUCAGGUUAGAAUAUACUCUUGAUGUGAUCUGAUGUGGAGGGCACUUCACCUCUGUGGGCUUCCUCCCUAGAUCCAUAAUUCCAUUCUGAUCAUUAGAUGAGUGAUCAGACAAAUUCUAAUUGAGGGGCAUACACCUCAAAACCAGAGGAAGUCAGAGAAACUGUCACACUCAUCAAGACACAAUGACUAAAUGCAAUGUGGCAUGCUUGGUUGAAGCCUGAAACAGAAAAGGAUUUGGUAAAAACUAAUUUGAAUAAUGUACGGAUCUCAGUUACUAGUAAUGUACUAAAGUUGAUUCAUUUAUUACGACAAAUGUACCAUACUGCCCUAAUAUCCUUGUAAGAUAUGAAUAAUGUGGGAAUGAGCUGUUAUAGGAUACUAUAACUUUGUACUAUUUUUGUAAUGUUUCUGUAAAUCUAAAAUCAUUUAUAUUUUUUCCAAAAAAUCAACCAUAACUUUGUCACUUUAAGAGAGAUGACAACUUCUCAUUUCUGUUCAUUUUCCAAAUUCUGACAGGGUAGCUUUUCUAAGUACAAGUAUGGCAAAAAAAAAAAAAAAACUCUUGUUUCAAUACUAACUGGCAUAGUACCUACUGCCUAUGGAU